CCUACGGGGUGCUGCAGUGAGGAAUAUUGGUCAAUGGCCGAGAGGCUGAACCUGCGAAGUCGCGUGAGGGAAGAAUGUCCUAUGGAUUGUAAACCUCUUUUGUCAGGGAGCAAAGUCACCCACGUGUGGGUGUUGGAGAGUACCUGAAGAAAAAGCAUCGGCAAACUGCGUGCCAGCAGCCGCGGUAAUCCGGAGGAUGCGAGCGUGAGCGGGAUUUGUUGGGGUAAAGGGGUGCGUAGGCGGUUUAUAAAGUCAGCGGUAAAAUCGUGGAGCUCAACUCCAUCCAGCCGUUGAAACUGAUGAUCUUGAGUGGGCGAGAAGUAUGCGGAAUGCGCGGUGUAGCGGUGAAAUGCAUAGAUAUCACGAAGAACUCCGAUUGCGAAGGCAGCAUACCGGCGCCCGACUGACGCUGAAGCACGAAAGCGUGGGUAUCGAACAGGAUUAGAUACCCGAGUAGUC
rnacentral:rRNA from 1 species